rnacentral:rRNA from 1 species
UGGGGAAUUUUGGACAAUGGGCGAAAAGCCUGAUCCAGCAAUGCCGCGUGUGUGAAGAAGGCCUUCGGGUUGUAAAGCACUUUUGUCCGGAAAGAAAUCCUUGGCUCUAAUACAGUCGGGGGAUGACGGUACCGGAAGAAUAAGCACCGGCUAACUACGUGCCAGCAGCCGCGGUAAUACGUAGGGUGCAAGCGUUAAUCGGAAUUACUGGGCGUAAAGCGUGCGCAGGCGGUUUGCUAAGACCGAUGUGAAAAUCCCCGGGCUCAACCUGGGAACUGCAUUGGUGACUGGCAGGCUAGAGUAUGGCAGAGGGGGGUAGAAUUCCACGUGUAGCAGUGAAAUGCGUAGAGAUGUGGAGGAAUACCGAUGGCGAAGGGAGCCCCUGGGCCAAUACUGACGCUCAUGCACGAAAAGCGUGGGGAGCAAAACAGGAUUAGAUACCCUGGUAGUCCACGCCCU